rnacentral:rRNA from 1 species
GACGAACGCUGGCGGCGUGCUUAACACAUGCAAGUCGAACGGAAAGGCCCUGCUUUUGUGGGGUGCUCGAGUGGCGAACGGGUGAGUAACACGUGAGUAACCUGCCCUUGACUUCGGGAUAACUUCAGGGAACUGGGGCUAAUACCGGAUAGGAGCUCCUGCUGCAUGGUGGGGGUUGGAACGUUUCGGCGGUUAGGGAUGGACUCGCGGCUUAUCAGCUUGUUGGUGGGGUAGUGGCUUACCAAGGGUUUGACGGGUAGCCGGCCUGAGAGGGUGACCGGCCACAUUGGGACUGAGAGACGGCCCAGACUCCUACGGGGGGCAGCAGUGGGGAGUAUUGCACAAUGGGCGGAAGCCUGAUGCAGCAACGCCGCGUGCGGGAUGACGGCCUUCGGGGUGUAAACCGCUUUCGCCUGUGACGAAGCGUGAGUGACGUCAAUGGGUAAAGAAGCACCGGCUAACUACGUG